GCUUAACCGGAGAAGUGCAUCGGAAACUGAUAAACUUGAGUGCAGAAAAGGAUAGUGGAACUUCAUGUGUAGCGGUGAAAUGCGUAGAUAUAUGAAGGAACACCAGUGGCGAAGGCGGCUAUCUGGUCUGUAACUGACGCUGAGGCUCGAAAGCAUGGGUAGCAAACAGGAUUAGAUACCCUGGUAGUCCAUGCCGUAAACGAUGAAUGCUAGGUGUUGGAAGGUUUCCGCCUUUCAGUGCCGCAGCUAACGCAUUAAGCAUUCCGCCUGGGGAGUACGACCGCAAGGUUGAAACUCAAAGGAAUUGACGGGGACCCGCACAAGCGGUGGAGCAUGUGGUUUAAUUCGAUGCUACGCGAAGAACCUUACCAGGACUUGACAUCUUCUGCCAAUCUAAGAGAUUAGACGUUCCCUUUGGGGACAGAAUGACAGGUGGUGCAUGGUUGUCGUCAGCUCGUGUCGUGAGAUGUUGGGUUAAGUCCCGCAACGAGCGCAACCCUUGUCUUUAGUUGCCAGCAUUAAGUUGGGCACUCUAGAGAGACUGCCGGUGAUAAACCGGAGGAAGGUGGGGACGACGUCAAAUCAUCAUGCCCCUUAUGUCCUGGGCUACACACGUGCUACAAUGGGCGAUACAAUG
rnacentral:rRNA from 1 species